rnacentral:rRNA from 1 species
GAGCGGUAAGGCCCUUCGGGGUACACGAGCGGCGAACGGGUGAGUAACACGUGGGUGAUCUACCUUGCACUUCGGGAUAAGCCUGGGAAACUGGGUCUAAUACCGGAUAUGACCUCUGAAUGCAUGUUCGGUGGUGGAAAGAUUUAUCGGUGCGAGAUGGGCCCGCGGCCUAUCAGCUUGUUGGUGAGGUAACGGCUCACCAAGGCGACGACGGGUAGCCGACCUGAGAGGGUGACCGGCCACACUGGGACUGAGACACGGCCCAGACUCCUACGGGAGGCAGCAGUGGGGAAUAUUGCACAAUGGGCGCAAGCCUGAUGCAGCGACGCCGCGUGCGGGAUGACGGCCUUCGGGUUGUAAACCGCUUUUGACAGGGACGAAGCGCAAGUGACGGUACCUGUAGAAGAAGCACCGGCCAACUACGUGCCAGCAGCCGCGGUAAUACGUAGGGUGCGAGCGUUGUCCGGAAUUACUGGGCGUAAAGAGCUUGUAGGCGGUUCGUCGCGUCGUUCGUGAAAACUUGGGGCUCAACCCCAAGCUUGCGGGCGAUACGGGCGGACUAGAGUACUUCAGGGGAGACUGGAAUUCCUGGUGUAGCGGUGAAAUGCGCAGAUAUCAGGAGGAACAUCAGUUGCGAAGGCGGCUCUCUGGACCAGCACUGACACUGAGGCACGAAAGCGUGGGGAGCAAACAGGAUUAGAUACCCUGGUAGUCCACGCCCUAAACGAUGCGAACUGGACGUUGGGAGCAAUCAGCUCUCAGUGUCGAAGCUAACGCGUUAAGUUCGCCGCCGGGGAGUACGGUCGCAAGACUGAAACUCAAAGAUGAGGGGCCCGCACAGCGGUGGAUAUGUGGUUUAAUUCGAUGCAACGCGAAGAACCUUACCUGGCCUUGACUCCACGGAACUUGGAGCCUUGUGCGGAGUGCAGUGCGUUUGUAUCCAACUCGGGC